UUGCCCUAGUAACGGCGAGUGAAGCGGCAACAGCUCAAAUUUGAAAUCUGGCUCUUUCAGGGCCCGAGUUGUAAUUUGCAGAGGGCGCUUUGGUGUUGGCGGCGGUCCAAGUUCUUUGGAACAGGACGUCACAGAGGGUGAGAAUCCCGUACGUGGUCGCUAGCCUUCACCGUGUAAAGCCCCUUCGACGAGUCGAGUUGUUUGGGAAUGCAGCUCUAAAUGGGAGGUAAAUUUCUUCUAAAGCUAAAUACUGGCCAGAGACCGAUAGCGCACAAGUAGAGUGAUCGAAAGAUGAAAAGCACUUUGGAAAGAGAGUCAAACAGCACGUGAAAUUGUUGAAAGGGAAGCGCUUGCAGCCAGACUUGCCUGUAGUUGCUUAUCUGGACUUUUGUCCGGUGCACUCUUCUGCGGGCAGGCCAGCAUCAGUUUGGGCGGUUGGAUAAAGGUCUCUGUCAUGUACCUCUCUUCGGGGAGGCCUUAUAGGGGAGACGACAUGCAACCAGCCUGGACUGAGGUCCGCGCAUCUGCUAGGAUGCUGGCGUAAUGGCUGUAAGCGGCCCGUCUUGAAACACGGACCAAGGAGUCUAACAUCUAUGCGAGUGUUUGGGUGUCAAGCCCAGACGCGUAAUGAAAGUGAACGGAGGUGGGAACCCUUUGGGUGCACCAUCGACCGAUCCUGAUGUCUUCGGAAGGAUUUGAGUAAGAGCAUAGCUGUUGGGACCCGAAAGAUGGUGAACUAUGCUUGAAUAGGGUGAAGCCAGAGGAAACUCUGGUGGAGGCUCGCAGCGGUUCUGACGUGCAAAUCGAUCGUCAAAUUU
rnacentral:rRNA from 1 species